ensembl:lncRNA
AUGUUAAGAUUGAAUAUUUUUAAGUUAGCGAAAAUGGGGCCUAGUAAGGGUAAAGGUCCCCUUAUAGCAAAAUAUGCACCUAGUGGUUUUAAAAAAGGAUUUGGAGCUAUAGGCUUAGGAAGACAUACGAAGAAAGGUUUUUUUAUUAUUAACAAAAUGUUAAUUCCUAAAUUUCAUGUCCCUGAUUUAAGUGAUUGUGAUUUAAAGCCAUAUGUUUCGAGAAAAACUCCAUUGAUUGUUAUGAAAAAGCAGUUGGGUCCCAAGAGAAAAAUUUUGAAUUGAGAUGUGAAAAAAAAAAAAAAAAAAAAAUAUAUAUAUACAUAAUUAAUAAAUAAUUAUCUUUUUUGUUUUAAGCUAUUUCU